rnacentral:piRNA from 1 species
UGAGAAGAUGGAGCAAUAUUUCUGGAU